rnacentral:rRNA from 1 species
AUGAAAACUGAGGGCUUUCGUUUUCAGAAUCAGGCUAUCUGUAAUAAUGGACAUGCUGUUCUCAUGUGUGACAUCUCUUAUAAGAUAUUUUUCUUUGUUAAAGAAAUACAAAGUCUGCUGUCAUUUAGUUUGCAGUCCUUGGAUCUUUUGUCUAUUGUACAUGUGUGUAGGUUCUGGUAUAUGACCCAACAUCACACCUCAGCGGGACACAGUUUUUACUGUGUUGGUUUUCUACUGCAGCAACCAAUAGAUCUCCGAUGCAGAAGACACAGGUUUGUCACCAGCCAAACUAAUGCUUGA